rnacentral:rRNA from 1 species
GACGAACGCUGGCGGCGUGCUUAACACAUGCAAGUCACGGGGGCUCGCAAGGGCAACCGGCGAACGGGUGCGUAACACGUGAGCAACUUACCGAUUUGUGGGGGAUAGCCGGCCCAACGGCCGGGUAAUACCGCAUACGCUCUUUGGGUGGAGUCACCUGAAGAGGAAACCUCCGGGGCAAAUCGAGGGGCUCGCGGCCUAUCAGCUAGUUGGUGCGGGUAACGGCCCACCAAGGCGAUGACGGGGUAGCUGGUCUGAGAGGAUGGCCAGCCACAUUGGGACUGAGAAACGGCCCAGACUCCGUACGGGAGGCAGCAGGUGGGGAAUCUUGCGCAAUGGCCGAAAGGCUGACGCAGCGACGCCGCGUGGUGGGAGG